rnacentral:antisense_RNA from 1 species
CUCGCAGCGGUCCUGCGUCAUGGUCAGACAAAUCAAACCCCGGCCAUAGGUGGCCAUAAAGUUUAUCGCUUCAGGGGUGAUUUGCUCUGCGGCAAUGAUCA